GCUCUCAUCGUCUAGUGGCCUAGGACAAUAGGUUUUCAGCCUAUUUACACGAGUUCGAAUCUCGUUGAGAGCA
rfam:Candidatus Roizmanbacteria bacterium RIFCSPLOWO2_02_FTLL_41_9 rifcsplowo2_02_scaffold_27955, whole genome shotgun sequence.